rnacentral:lncRNA from 1 species
GCACCCCAGCCUGGGCAACAGAGUGAGACUCUGUCUCACUCUGUUGCACAGUUUACAACAACAAAACUAUAGCAUCCAUCACAUAGAGGAGAGACUCCCCAACACACAUAUAAGGAUUACUCUCAGCCCCAGCUCCCUCAAACUUCCUAAGAUCAGCACUGGUAUCUGAUGGUGGCUCCUUGUAAAUCAAACUUAAUGGAGUAUGUGUUAUUUGGUUUAUGUUUAUGUGCAGCCUGCAUAACAACCACUCUGUCAACAUCAUGCAUAUGUUCAUUGUGUUGGUACUAGAAGACUCUAUGACACACACAAGCUGAUGUCAUCUGAUGGGUCUAUUUUAUCUACUUGGCUGUGCAAAUCCUCUUCUGUAGUAUAUGCUUUCUGGUGGACACUAAUAUGGAACACAAAGAUCUUCUCACAUUGCAGCUGCUCCCAUAUAUCCAUUGAUAUAUGCCUCUAACUCCAGACCUUUUUGUCCUUAAUCUUCUAAUCCGGUUAUCUCUUUUCCUUUAGUGCAAUUUUUCCUUAUUUGUUUGUUUUGUUUUUUUUUUUAAGUAAAUAGCUAGGCUUCUAAGCCCUACCACAGAGAGUCAACAGACAAACUGCCCAGGGAAAAGUUAUGACCUCAGGCAAAGUGAAUUUCUACAGCUAAGGCAGAUCCUGAAGAAGCUCACAAAUAAAGGCUGCAUACUCACACAUUCCCUGAAGCUUGACAGUGCCAGCCACCAUACUGUGAGGGAGCUGAAGUAAGCCCACAUGAGGAAGAAUUGAGGUCCCAAGCCAACAGCUGCAGCUAAGAUCCAAGCUCUCAACCAGUACCAGUUCAUCCGUUAUGCACACUAAGAUAUGGAAGCUAAAAGAGGACUAAGAGGAUUCUGGGGAUAUUACAAGAUAUUGCAGACUAUCUUGUUUUCCUGGAAAAGGAUUUUACCUCAGUCGACUGAAUUACUUUUUUCACUGUGUCUUGCCACUCUUCGUGCAUGCAUCAAAGACCCUAAUAUGACUUCUGGUGGCCUGGGACUCCUUGGGAAAACAGAAAAGGGGCCACAAAUCCCAUUUUGGGAACAAUCUGUUUUACUCAUGGAACCCCUGGAAUUAGAGAGCUGCUCCAAGUACAGAAAACCCUUUGAAGUCACUUGGAACUUUGUGCUCCGAUGAGGCCUGAAGGACAUGCAAAGUAAGAAACAUGGCCAUGCUUGCAAAUAAGCAAAAACUGAUCUAUGGCAGUUUUGCAGAAGAGAAUGGAAAGAAGUUUGGAGCUGCUCAAGGGCUACAAAUGCCAUGCUAGGAAGUUCACUUCAUCCUUUGGGAAGAUAAUGGAGAUGCAACAGAACUUUUAUGUAUAUUCAUAUAUUUUAAUAUAUUAUU